rnacentral:tRNA from 1 species
GCUUCUGGUUAGCUCAGUUGGUAGAGCGCUCCACUACUCUUGGAGAGGUCCUGGGUUCGAAUCCCGGAACGGGCG